GGAGGCCCCGCCGGGCCGCGACGGCCGGGGGUCGAGGCCGGGGGAGGCGGGGUAAAGGCCCGGCCGGCGACUGAGAGUCGGCGGCGAAGAGAAGAUGGCGGCCAUUUUGUGUGGCUUCAGACGGACUAUAUAUUUCUAGCUACCAAAAUGCUACCUCACAGAAAUGUUUUGAAGAUUCAAUAAAACAAUCCAUAAUAGGGAAGGGAAAGUGAAUAAUCUCAACCCCAUGGACUGAGAUUAUAGGUGUGAAGAAUGAUUCAUGGAGUGAGAAUUGGAGGGCAUAGAGAACAGAGCCGGAGGAAUACCAACAUCUAGGAGACAGCAGAAGGACAAGAGCCAGGGAAAGAACAGAGAAGGAGGGACAAGAGGCUGCGAGAAACAUGAAAGCCAGCGGAGGUCCAUAUUUCAAGGAGGACCCAAAGGAUCAACGAUUAGGACCAAAAAUGUCAAUGAGGAGGACCAAAAAGAUGGAGGUUGUCCCUGGAGAUCAUAAAAAGCACGACUUCUAGAGGACGCUGUGGGCGGAAAAUAUACUCUGGCCACUCUGAUGAACAAAUGAGCUAAUAUAGUGAAAAAUCUUUGACAGCUGCAACUUCAAAUAUAAAUAUUAAGGAAGAAUAUAUUAUUUCAAUUUCACCAUAGUGGUUAGGAAGGGCAUAUGUGUAUACAUGCCCCAAAAUAACACACUGAAACAGAAAAUCUAUGACCUAUCCAAAUUGCAGUUGAUCACAGAUUUGACUGAGAAACUCAAGUGCUUUGGACAUUGCCGUAAAUAGGAAAUCUUCAACACAACACUGAGAUUCACCUAUUUAUUUAUUUUUCAAUAAUCUUUUUUUCACCCCUUUUAAUUUA